UAGAGACUCCUGCCUCGCCACUGACGGACAGGCUUCCUGUUAGGACUGUGAUAAAAAGAGCGCUGGUGGCAUCAGCAGAAGAGCUAGGGCGAGCGGGCUGCAUGCGGGCGAGCAAAGCCAGGGGGUGAGUCUCACGGGGAUGUGAAUCGUGAGUCAUCAUUUAUACAGCCCGAGAACAGGCACGAAGCACUGCUGUGUAUUAUCUAGGUCUCCAGACCUAGCUACCCAAAGCACAAAGACUUUUCUGGAUGUAAAUGACACCAAACUUAAGAUCAUGGCUUUCAGGGCCAGCGCUGUGGCAUAGUGGGUUAAGCAUCAGAUGCCUGUGGCCCUGGCAUCUCAUGAGCGCCAGUUCAAGUCGCGGCUGCUCCUCUUCUGAUCCAGCUCCCAGCUAAUGUGCAUGGGAAAGCAGUAGAAGAUGGCCCAAGUCCUUAGGCCUCUGCACUCAUGUGGGAGACCCAGAAGAAGCUCCUGGCUCCUGACUUCGGAUCGGCAAAGCUCUGGCCACUGUGGCCAUUUGGGGAGUGAACCAGCAAAUGGAAGAUUCUCUCUCUCUCCCUCUCUCUGGCUGUAACUCUACCUCUCAAAUAAAUAAAUAAAAUCCUAAAAAAAAAAAAAAAAAGAGGAGAGAUGGGGACAGAUCAGAGCACUGAAGGCAAGCAAGAGGCGGUGAGGGUGGGGUCUGCCCCAAUGGGAGGGAGGGGCAAAGAGGGGUCUGGGCAGUAGGAAGAAGGGCCCCACCCCCCAGCCCCCAGGGCUGAUCUACUGAGGGAGGGUAGCCAGUUCCAGCUGGAGGAGGAGUUUUCCUGGGUAAAAAUGGAAGCAGCCAACGAUUGCUGUUUAUAAAAAUAACUACAAAGGCUUGACAACCCGAAGAGAAUGCUGAAAAAGUAAAUUGAGGGCUGUUGGGACAAUGCUCAGUGCUUCUCAUCUUCAAAGCAUUUCUGAGACAUGAGCUCAUGUAUCCUCCUGCCGUGGCGCUCAGAGGGACAAGGGGAAGAAGGAAGAUGGGGGUGGGGGUGGCCAAGGAGGGGCGGGUACAAAGCCUGGGUGACAGCCCCAAAGCGGCCAAGGUCAGCCACGGGAGCCAUUAUUGCAGGAUGCCACUCCGAGGUCUGCUUCUUCCAUCUGCCCCACAUCCAGCCGUGCAAGGGAGGAAUUGUCCGCUGCCUUCUGCUGAAAGCCGCCUUGCCUGAGCCGUCACACCCAACGGUCCAAUGCUCCCCAGAACAGCUGCUGUUUUCUGAGAACAAUGAGCUGCUUGUGAGCCUGAGAACAGGAAGAAAGCGCCACUUCGCAAGCAGCCGUGAGGCUACAGGCGGCGGGCAUGGUUGCGGAUGGCAGGUUGGUCUUUGA
rnacentral:lncRNA from 1 species